rnacentral:misc_RNA from 1 species
GGUCUUGCUAAUUUGAUCAUUUGUGUUAAAGCAAUAUGUGACGACAAUUGUUGUAGCCUGUACAAGUUACUCAAAUAUUGAGAUCUGCUCCUUUGUGGGUUGAUUUUAGUUGGUGUAGAUUUGUUUUUUGAUGAUCUUCUUUCUUUUAUUUCAUCCUAUGCUUAUGUAUGGUGAACGAGAAUCAGUGGGCUCUGCCUCUGAUUUGUUCUGAUGUAGCUUGUUUCUUCUACAUGUUCAUGCAUUGUUUGCAUUCUUCUUCUUGGGAAAACUUUGUGUAUAUCCAUGUAUUUCUUCUUUUUGGGUGAUCUGGG